GCUUGUCUCAAAGAUUAAGCCAUGCAUGUCUAAGUAUAAACGAUUUUAUACGUGAAACUGCGAAUGGCUCAUUAUAUCAGUUAUAGUUUAUUUGAUGGUCCUUACUACUUGGAUAACCGUAGUAAUUCUAGAGCUAAUACAUGCGUAAAAUCCCAACUCACGAAGGGAUGUAUUUAUUAGAUGGAAACCAAUGCGGGGCAACCCGGAACAUGGUGAUUCAUAAUAACUUUCGGAUCGUUUACGAUGCAUCAUUCAAGUUUCUGCCCUAUCAGCUUUGGAUGGUAGGGUAUUGGCCUACCAUGGCUUUAACGGGUAACGGAGAAUUAGGGUUCGAUUCCGGAGAGGGAGCCUGAGAAAUGGCUACCACAUCCAAGGAAGGCAGCAGG
rnacentral:rRNA from 1 species